rnacentral:lncRNA from 1 species
UCCUUUAGUCCGUCCGUUCGGCUCACCAACUCCGCCACCCCGGAGCAAAGAGGCGCCCGAUCCCGGCUCGCUCUGCUUUCCUGGAAAAUCCAGCUUUCCUUCUCCAAAGGUCCCCGCUUUUUAAUAAAAUCCAGGUAGCACUGGUUUAAAGAAUCCCAAAUCUCCAUAUACAGCCCGGGAUUGGAAAAGGUACAUUACACAACCCCCCUUUCAAGUUCCUCUCUCUGGAUCUAAAAAAAAGGGGGGGAGGGGGAGGGGGGCAGGAGGGGGGGGGGAGAAACAACUCUUUAGCAAUGAAACAAGCAUUGUUCCUCCGCUCCCUCCUCCUCCUGGACUGGCCAGCCAGCGCCUCAUAGUAAAUCUCCCAUUGGCUGCCCGGCCUGCCAAUCACGCUCAUGUAAACACUUUGGCCCUCAGCCAUUCCUAUAAAACCAAUUAUGGACCAAGGGGCUCGAGCGGUUUCUAGGCUCCCCCCGCCAGAGCUGAAUGAUCAAAACUGGCGGCUGACUGAUCAAAAUAGUAGGAGAUGCUUGUAGCUGCAAUUCAGUUCUUUUCAUUCCGCUGUUCAGUGGAAACGCUGUCAACUCCCCGAUUGCUGGGAACCAGCCUGCAGAAGGAGGACAAGAAUGAAGGGAGAGGGAAAUCGCCGCUUUCCCUGUCCUGCUUCCUCCUUGAAACUCAGUGUCAGAUCUCCAGUGAUUUAAUAUUUUGGGGAGGCCUCAGCGGCCGGCAUAAUUUCUCUCACGCUCGCUCUCGCCUGCCUGGGGAAGAGAAGAAUACACAGAUUUUUUCGGAAAGGACAGAGCCAAGCGCCUCCAGAGAAAAAGCACAUUGUCACCCUGCCACCCCUC